GGAUUGCUGCAGGCCCUUCCAGGGGGCUUAGCCCGGCAUCUUGACAGUUCCAGCCCCAGGCAGGAGGCCAGGAGGCCCACAAAAGCCAGAUGCUUGCGAUGCCACUUCCUGAAGAACUCCGCUGCCCUGCGCCGGGACGGUUUGCCCCUGCCACCAUCAUGACCUCCAGGCAGGACGUCAGUAGUGUCUGGACACCUGAAGGAGGCAGUGUGGUGUCAAGAACUUGGACGGCAGACAGACCGAGGCUCCAGUCCUACCUGAUUACCAGCUGUGUGGCCCUAGGCAAGCCGCAUAAUUUCUCAGCGACCCAGUUUCUUUGUAUAAAGUCAGAAGAGAGCGGUGCCCAGAUAAAGAAGGCUGAAGUUCACUGCAGCACAGGGUUAAGGACUUAAGCCCUGGAGCUGAACUUCCACCUCCUGCCCCUUGGGUGCUGUCCCACCUUGGAAAAGGUUCUUAGCCUCCCUCUGGCCUCAGUGUUCUGUCCGAGAGACCCUCCAGGGACUACCCGUGAGGGUGAAAGCCAGAAUCCUAAUAACGGCUCGCAGAACUCUCUUGGGGCAGGGGAUAUAGCUCAGUGGCAUAAGCGCCUGCCUGGCAAGCGCAAGGUCCUGAGUUCCAUUACCCGUACCAAAAAAAAAAAAUCUCUGAUGGCAUCCUCUACCGCUCUUCCUUCUACUCCAUCUAUACUACCAGCUACAAUCAGGGCCCUCGCCCACUGUUCCCGAGAGGUUCUUCUCAGAUACACCCACACGGUUCUCUCCUUCACCUCCUCCAGUUUUCUGUUCAAAUGUCACCUUAUCAGAGACGCCUCCUUGGGCCAUCUUUUUAAAAACAACAUGACCACCUCCAACACCUGCUUUCCUUCCAACUCUGUUUGCUUUUGCUACUUUUCCCCCUCCCGCAGCUUUGAAUAUCAUCUGGCACACUAUGUUUUACUUGUUUAUUGACUAUUUCUUCCCCCUGCAGAUUUGUAUCUGUUUUCUUCACCUGUAUAUCCUGUAUUUUUUUUUUUUUUUGUACCAGGAAUGGAACUCAUGACCUUGUGCUUGCCAGGCAGGUGCUGUGACGCUGAGCUAUACACCCCUGGCCUCUCUAUAUCCAGUAUUUAAAACGGUGGUAUAUAAUAAACAACCCAUAAAUAUUCUACAAAUAAAUGAAUAAAUUAA